CAAGAAAAUUUAUGGUACCAAGCAGGCCCCCACUCCCCCACUAUCAGGUUCGGGCACCUACGAGUGCACAAAUUGCGGAAAGUCUAGCCCUAAAGGCUCGCCUGGCUAGGCACGCAAAGGAAUGUGGUACGAGAGACCGUACCAAAUGUCUCCACUGCCCGUUUACGGCAAGCACCUUCGCGGGUGUUCGCCAACACGAACGGCGGGCACACCCGCAGCUUUAUGCGGCUGAACUGGAGAGCAAAGUAGGCGCCCGUGAAUCCCAGCUCAUGGCCAACAUUGCCUCAAUCGAAGCCAGGAGCAAAGGAGGCGUCAUCUCUAUAAAAGAGUUGACGAAAGCAACCGGCCUGACUUCCUUAGUUCAGGAGCCGAAGAGAGAAGCCCAUAUAUAAAAAAUAUCUCGAAUGUGAGAAGCUUGCGCUGAGGGAGGGAGGUAUCGGAACCCUUUUCUCGAAAGAUAGCCCCUCCAUUCCAGCACAUAGCUUCUGGCCCAUCUCAUCCACCCAGAGAUGCGAGCUCGGCUUCCCCCACCUAGCUUCAGUCAACCAAAGAUGACAAGAGGGCUGUCGCCGUUACCCCUGACGACAGUGCGCAAAUAAGAUCACCAUCUGUUAUCGCUCUUCAACCACCACUAGCCGCUCUUCCAUCCCAGCGGCUUUCCGAUGCGCCAACGCCCGGCAAGAGGAAACCAUCUGCCUCGUCCCAAGAUGAGGCGGGGAAUUACCCAAGCCAUGCCCAUUCCAUCCAGGGCCGACCCGAUAGAGACCAUUAUACCGGAUACGACAACGUCCAUGAUUUCUUUCGGGCCAGAGGUAUGGCGCUAAACACCAACAAGUGCGCCUCAAUGUCUGCAACCACCAUCCAGGGAAAGAGUGUUCCUAGAACAAAAUCUAUAUUUAAAUUACAGAAGACCUUUAUUCCCAUCGUGCAGCAACUGAACACUUUGAAAUACCUCGGUCUCCAUUUUGGGGUAUCUGGAGCAGAGAAACCGAGUAUUUACAAUCUCGUCGGAUGGAUCUCCAAUCUUCUCCGGGCCCCUCUUAAACCGGACCAGAAGUUGGCCAUGUUGAAGAGACACAUGGCUCCACGACUCCAAUACGGGCUUCAAUCCCCACGGAUUACUGCACAACACCUUCAGAAAGCAGAUAGGAUUGUCAGGAGAGAGGUUAAAAAGAUCUUGCAACCCUCCGAACACACCGGUUCACAGUUCCUCCACGCGGCUAUCAGAGACGGAGGCCUAGGCAUUCCACAACUACGGUACCCGGUUCCGGACAUCCUGAAAAAGAGAAUAGACGGCAUUACACAAAGGGAUGAAUUUAUGGAUCGACUGUUUCAAUCCACAGGAGCAGCGGGCGACUUCCGUAAACGGGUGGCCAAACUAGCCGCCCAAAGGCCACCACGACCUUACUGGCGCGAGCAGGUCGCGACAAGACCUUAUAGCCAAGGACUCCAGGCUUGUGAAGAGGAUUCCGCUAGUAGGCAGCGGCUACAAAGGACUCCGAUUGGAUGGACUGGGAAGGACUUUGUUCGGGCCGUUCAACUCCGAACAGGGAGCCUACCCACCCAAGGACUACCCUAUAACCCCCCCGAGAGAAGCGGAUGUCGGACAGGCUGCCCGAGGAUCGAGACCCUGUCACACGUCCUCCAAAGCUGCCCGGUCACCCAGUUCGAAAGAAUCAAGAGGCACGACGAAGUGGUCAAGAAAGUGGCAUCCCAUUGCCGCAGGAAAGGCUGGACCACCGAGGUCGAGCCGAGGAUCCGACACCCAGAUGGCCAACUGUUUAUCCCGGAUUUGGCAAUCCACCUCGCCAACGAGUCCAUCGUCGUCUGUGACGUCCAAGUAUGCUGGGAAGGACAACGAAUCCUGGCAGAGAGCUGGCAGCGGAAGAAGCUGGUGUACGACCAUCCCCGCUUCCAUGAAGCCGCCCGCAGACGGUGGACUGGGAAGAGCAUCACAGUCACGCCGUUACUCCUGGGUGCCAGAAGAAUCUGGCCACGAUGCAUCAACGAAACCGCACUGUUGCUCCAGCUACCCAAAUACCUAAAGAGCAGCUGUGUUCAGUCGUGCCUCAAAUGGGGGAGCACAAUACACCGCCAUUUCAUGGCAUCGGUCUGGAAACGUGGCCCCAGACCUGAUAGAAACCACUAGCCCAGGCCACCAGAUAACCAGAUGUGAUUCGGCCCGAUAUAUAUAUAUAUAUAUAUACUUACCUGGCGCGAUCACAGGACGCAAACGUCACUUUUUGAUCCUUCGAUGUCGGCUCUUCCUAUCAUUGCGAAGCAGAAUUCGCCAAGCGUCGGAUUGUUCACCCGCCAAUAGGGAACGUGAGCUGGGUUUAGACCGUCGUGAGACAGGUUAGUUUUACCCUACUGAUGACCGGUCGUUGCGAUAGUAAUCCUGCUCAGUACGAGAGGAACCGCAGGUUCGGACAUUUGGUUCACGCACUCGCUCGAGCGGGCGGUGGUGCGAAGCUACCAUCCGUGGGAUUAUGCCUGAACGCCUCUAAGGCCGUAUCCUUUCUAGUCAAAGGUGGCAACGAUACCCUUAGGAGUUCCGAGAGUCGAAAGGCUCAAAACAAUGUGACUUUAUUAGGCGGUCGACGUUCGCGUCGGCCGUCGCACGAGCCCUCGUUUGCCGCAUGGAGCAACCGACUGACGGCGGGAUCUCAUCGCUACGUUUCGUCGGCUCCUAGCGGUCGAUCACGGGUACCGCUCAGUUCGAUGUCGGAACUUGGAAUUGUCUGCAGACGACUUACGUACCUGGCGGGGUGUUGUACUCGGUAGAGCAGUUUCCACGCUGCGAUCUGUUGAGACUCUGCCCCUUGCUUGGGGAUUCGU
rnacentral:ncRNA from 1 species